rfam:Oryza rufipogon genomic scaffold, chr07
AAAAAGGGCAAACCCUGGGUUUCCGUGUGCAACUUUGACUGUCCGUCUUAUAUGAUUUUUUUUUAUAAUUCGUAUUUUCAUUGUUGUUAGAUGAUAAAACAUGAUUAAUAUUUUAUGCGUGACACAUCAAGUUUUUAAUUUUUUUCAUAUUUUUUUCAAAUAAGAUGGAUGGUCAAACGUUUGAUACGGAAAUCAGGGUUUGCUUUUUUU